AAAGGCCACUAUUUACUAUAGAUCAAUUUAGUAGACAUUACACAGAGAAAAAACCUAAUUUUCUAUAUUCAUUUCUACAUAAUUCAAAAAUCAAAACUUUAAAUCAUUAUUAGCAUCAUAAUCAUUAGUAGGAUAUGUAUAAUAAUACCCACUUUCUAUAAUUACUCAAAUAUACAUAAUAAAUUAAGUCAACAUUAAUUGUAAGAUAAUGGAUAUUAAAAGGAAAAAAAAAAGAAGAACAAACAUGCCAAUAUUCGAGAAGAGAAAAUAUUCACAAAUUAAAAAGUCAAGUUCCUUUAUUCAGUAAUUUGUAGCUAAGAAUUAAAAGAGUUUACCCAAAUAGGUUCAUUUACUCGAUAAUCAAUUUCUUUUAAGUCUGACGAAAAGUUCAAGUUCUUAAAAGUUCAAGCUAAAAGGAUAAAUUACAGGAAUUGAGGUAAAGUGACUGCUCCAUUUUUUUGUCCUCCUUCUGUAUGAGUUUGGGUGAAGACUUAUGGACGUGUUAUCAUUAAGAACUUAAGGGAUAACGAGUUCAAUAUUUAGUUGUUGUAACAAACGAAACUUGAGCUUGUUUUGUGGACUGUAUUAUGUGUAUAUGCUGGGGAUUGCCGGAUUGACGUUGGGGAAUAGCAUGAAUAGUUUGUAUUGAAAUAUAGAAGGAAGGGUGUAGUGGUACGCCACCAAACUAGAUGUUGAAUAUGUUUACUGUUUGUUCUACUUUAUACGUUAUUUUGAUAUUGUAACGAAGCUAAAGUUGUUUUAGGGAAUCUUAUAAGAAUAUGUAUGGUAUGUGGAUGUAAUUGGAGGAGAAAAAGGAUUAGAAUAACACCCUUGAUUUGAUAAUUUAUAGGCUUACUGCCGGCUACUAUUUUGGUGAAGUUGAGUAGCCCAAAUGUAUUUGUUAGCUACUAACACUAGUUUUACCAUAUACUUCAUUGUAGAUAAGUAUUCUAAAAUGCAGGACGCUAAUUUGGGUUAAUAUCGAAGUUGUAAAGCAACGUACCAGUUGUUGCCCGCACAUCACGAUCAGACAGUGCAGAUUUCAGCCAGCAGGUGAUGAGUUCUCCUACUUCUGGAACUCCAGACAGUUUUAGUUUAUGUACUGUUCAUUUACUUUCAUGUGUAUUGAUUAGUGGUAGUUGGAGGCAUGUCCCAGCUAUCUAUAGUCAGUAUAGUAGAGACUUCAUAGAUGUCAGUUAGAAUCAGUCAUGUAAUUUUAGUUUUAUCCUUCAGUUUUUAUCAGAUUAUAAACUUUAUCAGAAAUGUAUUUAUUCAGAUUAUGACAUGACUAUGAUUCUGCACGGCAAAACUUAUUAUUCAUUUUAUUAUAUUUCAGUUGCUUAACA